UUUAUUCGUAGUCAAUUGUAGUGUGAAUAUCCUACCACAUAAACGUUUCUUCUACGAAUUUCGCCAAACGAGAAAUGGUUUUUGCUUGGUUAGUGAUAGUCACUAUGUUACUCUUCUCACUUUAUUGGGGAGUAAUGUACGUGAACAGAAAACCGUUCAAUAGUACCAACACCACUACCACAACAGAACGAAUUAUAAUUAGAGCUAAAAGUGUGGAUACAACGUUGUCUUCGGAAUUAAUUAAUGUUACUUCAAAUCAUUCAAAGCGCCAUUUAACUAAUUGGCAUCGGCUACCCGAUGAAACACACACAAAAGAUCUACCUGCUUCCCUACAUAAUUGGCUUCUUUAGGUUAUUGCUAACCACUAUGUUCCUUUUCACAAUUUAUUGGGGAACAUUGCACUCGAAGAGACCACCGCUAAAUACUACUGAUGCCAAUGCUACUAAUACCACCAACACCACUACCACCACAACACAACGAAUAAUAAUUAGAGCUAAAAUUGUGGAUACGACGAUGAAUCCGGAAUUAACUAACAUUACUUCAAGUCCUUCAAAACGACAUUUAACAGAUUGGCGUCGGCUACCCGAUGAAACGCACACAAAAGACCUACCUGCUUACCUACAUAAUUGGCUUUUUUAGGUUUUUAGUAUAUUUUUUUCUUAACGUUACUCCCUCUAAGGCUAAGGACUCACGGUGAGAUUCUCCCGCACCCGCCGCGAUUACGGGCCCGCAGCCUUUAUAGAUAUGUAAUAAAUGAAAGCAAUUUUCACGGCGCUUUUUACGUCC